rnacentral:rRNA from 1 species
UACAAGGGGGGCAAGCGUUGUUCGGAAUUACUGGGCGUAAAGGGCUCGUAGGUGGCCAACUAAGUCAGACGUGAAAUCCCUCAGCUUAACUGGGGAACUGCGUCUGAUACUGGAUGGCUUGAGUUUGGGAGAGGGAUGCGGAAUUCCAGGUGUAGCGGUGAAAUGCGUAGAUAUCUGGAGGAACACCGGUGGCGAAGGCGGCAUCCUGGACCAAUACUGACACUGAGGAGCGAAAGCCAGGGGAGCAAACGGG